UACGUAGGGUGCGAGCGUUAAUCGGAAUUACUGGGCGUAAAGCGUGCGCAGGCGGUUUUGUAAGCCAGAUGUGAAAUCCCCGGGCUUAACCUGGGAAUGGCAUUUGGGACUGCAAGGCUUGAGUGCGGCAGAGGAGACUGGAAUUCCUGGUGUAGCAGUGAAAUGCGUAGAUAUCAGGAGGAACACCAAUAGCGAAGGCAGCUCGCUGGGACGUUACUGACACUGAGGCGCGAAAGCGUGGGGAGCGAACAGG
rnacentral:rRNA from 1 species